CCGUAGUCUCUCAACCCUAACCAAUUUUCAAUGCCGUUCGUCCCUAAUUCUUCAUCAGACUUCCAUCAUCAACAUCUUAAUUCGAAAAAUCAGUUCGUGUAAUAUGUUCGAUGAACGUGUUUACGAGAUUGAGCGUUUGAUUCUGAUUAUUUUAUGGUUUUAUAACAUGAAACAGUGGAGAUUUAAGGAAUUUUGGGGGUUUGAGAAGCUAGGGUUUGUGGUUUUGGUAAGCAUUUCAUCUUCAGAUCUGUUGUUGCUUUGGUUAAUCUAAUCUUGUGAAACUAUUUUAUGAAUUCUGGUUGCCUUGGCGGAGGAGGGUUUUCAACCAUUCAGACACCCUAGAGGCGGAGGAGGGUUUUGUUUUGUGGAUGGAGACGAUGAUUUUUGGCCGGUUGAUUUGAAGCAUCUGAUGAUGCUGGUUUUAGCACAGAUCUUCAUGUUCAGGUUUAAUGGGUCGGGUAGAUUUUUAUAUGUAUCCCAGUGAGCUAAGGUAAUAACAAAUGAUGUCUAUUUUCCCUAGAAACUUCAUCUUUGGAUUGAUUGAGUUGUUCCCAGAUGGUCUAACAUAUUGUUCAAGAUGGUUGAAGAUCCUGUUAAUAGACCUGCUUUUGAAGUCAUAUUAGUGCAGGGAGUGUGUCCCAUCCAGGUCAAGCAUGCUGAUGGGGAGCGUGAAAGAAGCUGAAAAUGUACGAAAAUAAUAUGACGAGGCCAACAGAAAGUUAUCUAAACUAAAAUCAAGGAUAUCUCGCUUAAUAAAGAAGCUAGCGCAUGAUUU